CCCUUAGAUGUCCUGGGCCGCAUGCGCGCUACAUUGAGUGUCUGAGAUACGAGUCUGCCUGGUCCGGCAAGGUCUAGGUAAUCGCUAAAAGACACAUCAUGCUUGGGAUAGAUUAUUGCAAAUAUUAAUCUUGAACGAGGAAUUCCUAGUAAGCGCAAGUCAACAGCUUGCGUUGAUUACGUCCCUGCCCUCUGUACACACCGCCCGUCGCUACUACUGAUUGGAUGUUUAAGCGAGGUUCUCGAACUGCUAGCGACUUAGCUUCGGUGAGGUCGCAGUGUGGGAAGUGAACCUAGCUUUGGUGUCUAGAGGAAGUAAAAGUCGUAACA
rnacentral:rRNA from 1 species